CUAAAGGGGAAGUUGGAGCCUCUUUUUCAGUGAUAGAUGGCAUCCCUGAAAAUUACUGGUGGAAGGGACAGAAUCAGAGAACCUUCCAAAUUUGGAGACUUUCCACGCUGCAUUGGGGACCCUCAAAGAAGACUUGCCAAUCAAGACAUAAGCAAACCUCUUCGUAACUCCUUCAUACACACAGGUCAUGGUGGAGUUUCGGGCAAGACAUGGGGGAGUCCUGCAUUUAUCGAUGACAUGUAUCUCAAAAAACCCCAGGAACC